rnacentral:rRNA from 1 species
AUGAACGCUGGCGGCGUGCCUAAUACAUGCAAGUCGAGCGAACAGACGAGGAGCUUGCUCCUCUGACGUUAGCGGCGAACGGGUGAGUAACACGUUGAUAACCUACCUAUAAGACUGGGAUAACUUCGGGAAACCGGAGCUAAUACCGGAUAAUAUAUUGAACCGCAUGGUUCCAUAGUUAAAGACGGUUUUGCUGUCACUUAUAGAUUGAUCCGCGCCGCAUUAGCUAGUUGGUAAGGUAACGGCUUACCAAGGCAACGAUGCGUAGCCGACCUGGGAGGGGGAUCGGCAACACUGGAACUGAGACACGGUCCAGACUCCUACGGGAGGCAGCAGUAGGGAAUCUUCCGCAAUGGGCGAAAGCCUGACGGAGCAACGCCGCGUGAGUGAUGAAGGUCUUCGGAUCGUAAAACUCUGUUAUUAGGGAAGAACAAAUGUGUAAGUAACGAUGCACGUCUUGACGGUACCUAAUCAGAAAGCCACGGCUAACUACGU